UACAGAGAGUGCAAACGUUGUUCGGAAUUACUGGGCUUAAAGCGCACGUAGGCGGCGCCGCAAGUGUUGGGUGAAAUCCCACGGCUUACCCGUGAAACUGCCUGGCAGACUGCGGUGCUAGAGGAUGGUAGGGGAGAGCGGAAUUCCUGGUGUAGCGGUGAAAUGCGCAGAUAUCAGGAAGAACACCAAUGGCGAAGGCAGCUCUCUGGGACGGUACUGACGCUGAGGUGCGAAAGCGUGGGGAGCAAACAGG
rnacentral:rRNA from 1 species